CCUACGGGUGGCAGCAGUGAGGAAUAUUGGUCAAUGGGCGAGAGCCUGAACCAGCCAAGUCGCGUGAGGGAAGACGGUCCUAUGGAUUGUACACCUCUUUUGCCGGGGAGCAAAAAGCGGUCCGCGUACCGCAUCGAGAGUACCCGGAGAAACAGCAUCGGCUAACUCCGUGCCAGCAGCCGCGGUAAUACGGAGGAUGCGAGCGUUAUCCGGAUUUAUUGGGUUUAAAGGGUGCGCAGGCGGCGAGUUAAGUCAGCGGUAAAAGUUCGGGGCUCAACCCCGACAAGCCGUUGAAACUGGCGUGCUAGAGUGGGCGAGAAGUAUGCGGAAUGCGUGGUGUAGCGGUGAAAUGCAUAGAUAUCACGCAGAACUCCGAUUGCGAAGGCAGCAUACCGGCGCCCAACUGACGCUCAGGCACGAAAGCGUGGGUAUCGAACAGGAUGAGAUACCCGGGUAGUC
rnacentral:rRNA from 1 species